rnacentral:lncRNA from 1 species
GUUUGGGCGGCGGCGGCGGCUUAGGUUCUUCCUUGGGCGGCUUGGGAUCUUCCUUGGGGGGCUUGGGAUCUUCCUUAGGGGGGUCCGGCUUGGGUUCUUCCUUGGGUGGCUUGGGUUCUUCCUUGGGUGGCUCUGGCUUUGGAUCUUCCUUAGGGGGGUCCGGCUUGGGCGGCGGCGGCGGCCAGACCUCGACGAUUUUGAUCUCCUUGAUGAUCCUGCCGGCCUUGCACCAGAUCUUCUUGGAGAGCUGCUCGCCGCUGAACUUGCCGCGCACAAUCAC